UUGGUUGUUUGUUUUGUUGUAUAUAGAUAUUAUUAGGGCUGGAGAGAUGGCUCAGCCGUUAAAGGCUAGGCUCACAACCAAAAUAGA
rnacentral:miRNA from 1 species